rnacentral:lncRNA from 1 species
ACUAUAAAAGAAUAUAUGUUUGAGAAUGUAUAGUAUAGCAUUUGUUUGUCAUAUACGAAGUCCAGGACGCUAGCUCCAGUGUUGAUUUCCAAUAAAAGAAGAAAGAAAGGAAGAACAAGACUAUGUACCCUACUCCUUGGGGCAUAAAAAAGAAAGUGCUGUAUGAAAAACACUUAAAUAUCUCAAAAGUAUCGCCAUUGUUAAGAUCAUUCUGAUACUUGGAAAGUGUAUUUUAAUUGUUUUCUCUAUUGUAGGCCUUACCCUAAUUCAGUGAGUGCACUGCGACCAAGAAGGAGGUGGGGGGUGGGGUGGGCAGGGGGCCAGAUUUGUUCUUCAAGAUCCAGACUAGCAAUGGAGUAUUAUAAUCAGUAUGGGAAGGGGAAAGGAAAGGGAUGGGCAACAAAAAACUAAGUAGAAGUUGAUUGAUUGAUUCUUUGAUUGAAACCAUUGUUCCAGGGUACCUCAAAGGAGUGAUUAAGUAUGCGGAGUGGAGGGAGAUGAGAUGAAUCUAAGAAGUAAACAUUUGUGAAGCAUCUCCAUUCUGUCUGGAAUAAUGCGUGAAGUGGAGGGGAUAGUGGAACAUCUAACAAGCUUAACGUUGAUGUACUAGAUUAGACAUACUUGCUAUGUCCCUGCUAAUCCACCAUGAAGGUGCAGCUUCCAUCCUCUUAAAGCUCAGCUUACUAAAUGAUUUGUCUGACCAAGGAGUGAAGUCCAGGUGGAAGGCCUGGAGGCAG